CCUACGGGAGGCAGCAGUGAGGAAUAUUGGUCAAUGGACGAGAGUCUGAACCAGCCAAGUAGCGUGAAGGAUGACUGCCCUAUGGGUUGUAAACUUCUUUUAUAUGGGAAUAAAAUGUUCCACGUGUGGGAUUUUGUAUGUACCAUAUGAAUAAGGAACGGCUAACUCCGUGCCAGCAGCCGCGGUAAUACGGAGGAUCCGAGCGUUAUCCGGAUUUAUUGGGUUUAAAGGGAGCGUAGGUGGAUUGUUAAGUCAGUUGUGAAAGUUUGCGGCUCAACCGUAAAAUUGCAGUUGAAACUGGCAGUCUUGAGUACAGUAGAGGUGGGCGGAAUUCGUGGUGUAGCGGUGAAAUGCUUAGAUAGCACGAAGAACUCCGAUUGCGAAGGCAGUUCACUGGACUGCAACUGACACUGAGGCUCGAAAGUGUGGGUAUCAAACAGGAUUAGAUACCCGAGUAGUC
rnacentral:rRNA from 1 species